rnacentral:rRNA from 1 species
AGGGUUUGUCCUGGCUAGGAUGACGCUAGCGGCAGGUUUAUACUGCAAGUCGGAGGUAAAUCGGUGCUCGCCCAGACACGAGCGGCGCACGGGUGCGUAACGCGUACCAAUUACCUUUACUAGAGUAAGCCCAGAGAAUUUGGAUAUCCUUAUAAAUCUAUUAUCUCAUGAUUUUAGAUAAAGUUUUAACGGUAAAGUGGGCAUGCGUCUUAUUAGUUUGUAGGUGAGGUAAUGGCUCACCUAGACUACGAUAGGUAGGGGCCCUGAGAGGGGGAUCUUUCACACUGGUACUGAGACACGGACCAGACUCCUACGGGAGGCAGCAGUAAGGAAUAUUGGACAAUGGACGAAAGUCUGAUCCAGCCAUGCCGCGUGCAGGAUGACGGCCCUAUGGGUUGUAAACUUGCUUUAUACAGGAAGAAACACUCCGACGUGUCGGAACUUUGACGGUACUGUAAGUAAUAAGGGAUCGGCUAAACUUCCGUGCCCAGCCCGCCCGCGGUAAUUUCAAUCACUUAGUGAAAUUC